rnacentral:rRNA from 1 species
AGUGAACGCUGGCGGUAGGCCUAACACAUGCAAGUCGAACGGCAGCACAGUAAGAGCUUGCUCUUACGGGUGGCGAGUGGCGGGCGGGUGAGGAAUACAUCGGAAUCUACUUUUUCGUGGGUGAUAACGUAGGGAAACUUACGCUAAUACCGCAUACGACCUACGGGGGAAAGCAUGGGAUCUUCGGACCUUGCGCGAUUGAAUGAGCCGAUGUCGGAUUAGCUAGUUGGCGGGGUAAAGGCCCACCAAGGCGACGAUCCGUAGCUGGUCUGAGAGGAUGAUCAGCCACACUGGAACUGAGACACGGUCCAGACUCCUACGGGAGGCAGCAGUGGGGAAUAUUGGACAAUGGGCGCAAGCCUGAUCCAGCCAUACCGCGUGGGUGAAGAAGGCCUUCGGGUUGUAAAGCCCUUUUGUUGGGAAAGAAAAGCAGCAGGUUAAUACCACGCUGUUCUGACGGUACCCAAAGAAUAAGCACCGGCUAACUUCGUG